rnacentral:rRNA from 1 species
GACGAACGCUGGCGGCGUGCCUAAUACAUGCAAGUCGAACGCUUCUUUCCUCCCGAGUGCUUGCACUCAAUUGGAAAGAGGAGUGGCGGACGGGUGAGUAACACGUGGGUAACCUACCCAUCAGAGGGGGAUGACACUUGGAAACAGGUGCUAAUACCGCAUAAAAGUUUAUGCCGCAUGGCAUAAGAGUGAAAGGCGCUUUCGGGUGUCGCUGAUGGAUGGACCCGCGGUGCAUUAGCUAGUUGGUGAGGUAACGGCUCACCAAGGCCACGAUGCAUAGCCGACCUGAGAGGGUGAUCGGCCACACUGGGACUGAGACACGGCCCAGACUCCUACGGGAGGCAGCAGUAGGGAAUCUUCGGCAAUGGACGAAAGUCUGACCGAGCAACGCCGCGUGAGUGAAGAAGGUUUUCGGAUCGUAAAACUCUGUUGUUAGAGAAGAACAAGGACGUUAGUAACUGAACGUCCCCUGACGGUAUCUAACCAGAAAGCCACGGCUAACUACGUG